UUCCACUCCAAAAAAAGUGGAAUGAUACAGAGAACAUUAGCAUGACCCCUGGGCAAGGAUGACACACAAAUUCGUGAAACGUUCCUCAUUUUU
ensembl:snRNA U6 U6 spliceosomal RNA